rnacentral:sRNA from 1 species
AUAUAAGAUGCAAUAACUAUGAUCUCAUAUACAAUAACAGUCGUGAACUGAUUAUAUCAUCGCGUCUGUUUAUGUGCAAUAAAAAGAACCUGGCGGAAAAAUCCAGGUUCUUUUUUGA